rnacentral:rRNA from 1 species
GAUGAACGCUGGCGGCGUGCCUAAUACAUGCAAGUCGAGCGAAUGGAUUAAGAGCUUGCUCUUAUGAAGUUAGCGGCGGACGGGUGAGUAACACGUGGGUAACCUGCCCAUAAGACUGGGAUAACUCCGGGAAACCGGGGCUAAUACCGGAUAACAUUUUGAACCGCAUGGUUCGAAAUUGAAAGGCGGCUUCGGCUGUCACUUAUGGAUGGACCCGCGCCGCAUUAGCUAGUUGGUGAGGUAACGGCUCACCAAGGCAACGAUGCGUAGCCGACCUGAGAGGGUGAUCGGUCACACUGGGACUGAGACACGGCCCAGACUCCUACGGGAGGCAGCAGUAGGGAAUCUUCCGCAAUGGACGAAAGUCUGACGGAGCAACGCCGCGUGAGUGAUGAAGGCUUUCGGGUCGUAAAACACUGUUGUUAGGGAAGAACAAGUGCUAGUUGAAUAAGCUGGCACCUUGACGGUACCUAACCAGAAAGCCACGGCUAACUACGUGCCAGCCGCCGCCGUAA